UUAUAACACCUUACUAACCUCAAUAUACACCUGAUCUCAACUAAUUUUGGAAGCUAAGCAAGGUUGGUCUGGUUAAUACUUGGAUGAGGGACUACAAAGAAAUACUAGCAGUCUCACAAC
rnacentral:rRNA from 11 species